rnacentral:rRNA from 1 species
GAUGAACGCUGGCGGCGUGCCUAAUACAUGCAAGUCGAGCGAACGGACGAGAAGCUUGCUUUUCUGAUGUUAGCGGCGGACGGGUGAGUAUCACGUGGAUAACCUACCUAUAAGACUGGGAUAACUUCGGGAAACCGGAGCUAAUACCGGAUAAUAUUUUGAACCGCAUGGUUCAAAAGUGAAAGACGGUCUUGCUGUCACUUAUAGAUGGAUCCGCGCUGCAUUAGCUAGUUGGUAAGGUAACGGCUUACCAAGGCAACGAUGCAUAGCCGACCUGAGAGGGUGAUCGGCCACACUAGAACUGAGACACGGUCCAGACUCCUACGGGAGGCAGCAGUAGGGAAUCUUCCGCAAUGGGCGAAAGCCUGACGGAGCAACGCCGCGUGAGUGAUGAAGGUCUUCGGAUCGUAAAACUCUGUUAUUAGGGAAGAACAUAUGUGUAAGUAACUGUGCACAUCUUGACGGUACCUAAUCAGAAAGCCACGGCUAACUACGUG